AGUGGACGCUGGCGGCGUGCUUAACACAUGCAAGUCGAACGAGAACGGGUUAUAGCUUGCUAUAAUUGUCAGCUAAGUGGCGCACGGGUGAGUAAUGUAUAGGUAAUAUGCCUCUUACUAAGGGAUAACAAAUGGAAACGUUUGCUAAUACCUUAUACUCCUUAUUAACAGAAGUUAAUAAGGGAAAGAUUUAUUGGUAAGAGAUUAGCCUGUAUUGUAUCAGUUAGUUGGUGGGGUAAUGGCUUACCAAGACUAUGACACAUAACUGGUUUGAGAGGAUGAUCAGUCACACUGGAACUGAGACACGGUCCAGACUCCUACGGGAGGCAGCAGUGGGGAAUAUUGCACGAUGGACGAAAGUCUGAUGCAGCAACGCCGCGUGGAGGAUGACACAUUUCGGUGCGUAAACUCCUUUUAUAUGAGAAGAUAAUGACGGUAUUAUAUGAAUAAGCACCGGCUAACUCCGUGCCAGCCGCCGCCGUAA
rnacentral:rRNA from 1 species